rnacentral:rRNA from 1 species
AUGUCGAGGUUUCUGCAGUUGGGGAAGAGCGGCAGAAAAAUUGCUGAGGCUGUAUUGGUCAACUCGAAGCCCGGCAGUUCAGGUGCGCAGAACAUUGGGUCGAGCUUUGCGGCCGGUUUGGCCCAUAAGAGCAGGGCAUUCUUGCACCAGGGAGUCCACAAUGCACCGGGCACCUCGCACAUGCUCGGACGAGCAAAGGAGAGCGUAUACUGGAGCCCUGGUGCAAGAAACUUUUCUGUUCUCUCGUCAUGUAGCCGGAAUGCAUCUCACAGCCAGCUUGCUUGGAAGCAACUCAUGGAAAAGGGUUCUCGUGUGCCAAAAGCAUCUCCGCUCUUAAGCAGAGCUGCUUGUGCCGUUACCCUGACUGCCACUAGAUAUAAGUUAGUUCCUUACCUCGUCGCUUUUGUAGCUGGAGAGUUGAUGCUAGGUGAGAAGACUUAUGCAGAUGGCGACUACCUCCCAAUACGAGAGAAUAUUUACUCGCGAGCUCAGGACAGCCGUAUUUAUGUCACCACAUUGAUAUUCUCAGCAGUAGAGAUGGUUAUCAUAAUCCUCAGAUCAAUAUAUCUGGCUUUCUUGUUUACUCCCAGUAUACUGAUGGCACCAUUUGCAGAUACUCUUGGCAGUAAAUAUAGGAAAACAUGGCUCCGUCUUGUGCAUCGUACUUUAGAGCAGGCAGGUCCUGCAUUUAUUAAAUGGGGCCAGUGGGCGGCGACACGUCCUGAUCUAUUUGCAAACGACCUGUGUACCGAGUUGUCAAAGCUACACACAAAAGCACCAGCUCACAGCUAUGCAUAUACCAAGAAAACCGUCGAGAAGGCUUUUGGUCGAAAGUUAUCUGAAAUUUUUGAGAAUUUUGAAGAAGAGCCUGUAGCGUCUGGAAGUGUUGCUCAAGUGCACCGGGCUGCUUUGAAAUUCCGACAUCCUGGCCAAAAGACGCCAAAGAUUAUAACAGUUGCAGUUAAAGUAAGACAUCCUGGUGUAGGAGACUCAAUACGGAGAGAUUUCAGUAUAAUUAAUGCGGUAGCUAAAGCUUCAAGAUAUAUUCCAGCGUUAAAUUGGCUACGGCUAGAUGAGAGUGUGCAACAGUUUGCCGUCUUCAUGAUGUCUCAAGUUGACCUUGCAAGGGAAGCUGCUCAUUUGAGCCGGUUUAUCUACAACUUCCGCAGGUGGAAAGAUGUGUCAUUUCCGAAACCUCUUUAUCCAUUUGUUCAUCCUGCUGUCUUGGUCGAGACUUACGAGCUUGGGGAGAGUGUCUCACACUAUGUGGAUGACCAUGAUGGAGAGGAACGAGUUAAAAGUGCUCUUGCACAUAUUGGCACUCAUGCACUCUUGAAAAUGCUACUGGUUGAUAAUUUUGUCCAUGCAGACAUGCACCCUGGAAAUAUCCUGGUCCGCAUUGCACAACCAAGAAAUCCGAAUAACACCCUUUUGAAGUCAAGGCCGCAUGUGGUAUUCCUCGAUGUAGGAAUGACUGCUGAACUUUCAAGUAAUGACCGUUUGAAUUUGCUGGAGUUUUUCAAGGCUGUUGCACGUCGAGAUGGUCGUACAGCAGCAGAGAGUACGCUAAAGUUGUCAAAACAGCAGAACUGCCCAAAUCCAAAAGUUUUUAUAGAGGAAGUUGAGCGAGCAUUUUCCUUCUGGGGUACCCCUGAAGGUGAUGUUAUACACCCUGCUGAUUGUAUGCACCAGUUGCUCGAGCAAGUCCGACGUCAUAAAGUAAACAUUGAUGGCAAUGUUUGCACUGUUAUGGUGACUACAUUAGUUCUUGAGGGCUGGCAGCGCAAGUUGGAUCCAGACUACAAUGUGAUGAAAACACUACAAACGUUACUUUUCAAGGAAGACUGGGCCAAGUCUCUUCAGUACACAAUCGAAGGGCUUAUGGCACCUUAG